UGCUGCCAUAUCACAUUGAAACAUCAGUUCUCUUACGAUCAACUAAGUUAAGCAAUGUUGAGCCUCGUCAGUACGUAUAUGAGUGACCGCUUGGGAAUACCAGGUGCUGUAAG